UGGGGAAUUUUGCACAAUGGGGGAAACCCUGAUGCAGCGACGCCGCGUGAUUUAGAAGGCCUUCGGGUUGUAAAAAUCUUUUCUAUGGGAAGAAAAUGACAGUACCAUAGGAAUAAGGACCGGCUAAUUACGUGCCAGCAGCCGCGGUAAUACGUAAGGUCCGAGCGUUGUCCGGAAUCAUUGGGCGUAAAGGGUACGUAGGCGGGUGAGCAAGUUAGAAGUGAAAUCCUAUAGCUCAACUAUAGUAAGCUUUUAAAACUGCUCAUCUUGAGGUAUGGAAGGGAAAGUGGAAUUCCUAGUGUAGCGGUGAAAUGCGCAGAUAUUAGGAGGAAUACCGGUGGCGAAGGCGACUUUCUGGCCAUAACCUGACGCUGAGGUACGAAAGCGUGGGUAGCAAACAGG
rnacentral:rRNA from 1 species